rnacentral:snoRNA from 14 species
CACAAGAAGGAGGGGUAGUGUUCUCUCCUGACCAUGAAGCAGCUCUAGGUGUUAGUUUCUGCAACUGCCUUUUGCCAUUGAUGAUCAUUCUUCUCUCUUCCUUUGGGCCAGUAAGAGGGAGAGGAUGCAGUCUGAGUG